AUUAGUAAACAGAGGUGCUUUAACAGGCUGAGAUAUACUCUUAAAAGUUGAUCUAGGUAAUUCUAGCGUAACGAGUUUAGUCAAGAUUCUU
rnacentral:ncRNA from 3 species